rnacentral:tRNA from 1 species
GUCGGGAUAGCUCAUUUGGUAAAGCAAAGGACUGAAAAUCCUCGUGUCACCAGUUCAAAUAA